CAGACUUCUUGUUGGGCCGCGAG
rnacentral:siRNA from 1 species